rnacentral:rRNA from 1 species
GAUGAACGCUGGCGGCGUGCUUAACACAUGCAAGUCGAACGAAGCACUAUUAUUUGAUUUCUUCGGAAUGAAGAUUUUAGUGACUGAGUGGCGGACGGGUGAGUAACGCGUGGGUAACCUGCCUCAUACAGGGGGAUAACAGUUAGAAAUGACUGCUAAUACCGCAUAAGCGCACGGUAUCGCAUGAUACAGUGUGAAAAACUCCGGUGGUAUGAGAUGGACCCGCGUCUGAUUAGCUAGUUGGUAAGGUAAUGGCUUACCAAGGCGACGAUCAGUAGCCGACUUGAGAGAGUGACCGGCCACAUUGGGACUGAGACACGGCCCAAACUCCUACGGGAGGCAGCAGUGGGGAAUAUUGCACAAUGGGCGAAAGCCUGAUGCAGCGACGCCGCGUGAAGGAAGAAGUAUUUCGGUAUGUAAACUUCUAUCAGCAGGGAAGAAAAUGACGGUACCUGACUAAGAAGCCCCGGCUAACUACGUGCCAGCCGCCGCCGUAACAC